UGGGUCGGCUGCAGUCGACGAUUCCUACGGGAGGCAGCAGUAACGAAUAUUCCGCAAUGCGCGAAAGCGUGACGGAGCAAUGCCGCGUGAAGGAUGAAGCACCUCGGUGUGUAAACUUCUGUCAGGGUUUAGGAAACUAAUGACCAUACCCAAAGGAAGAGCCGGCUAACUCUGUGCCAGCAGCCGCGGUAAUACGGAGGGGGUUAGCGUUGUUCGGAAUUACUGGGCGUAAAGCGCGCGUAGGCGGAUUGGAAAGUUGGGGGUGAAAUCCCGGGGCUCAACCCCGGAACUGCCUUCAAAACUCCCAGUCUAGAGUUCGAGAGAGGUGAGUGGAAUUCCGAGUGUAGAGGUGAAAUUCGUAGAUAUUCGGAAGAACACCAGUGGCGAAGGCGGCUCACUGGCUCGAUACUGACGCUGAGGUGCGAAAGUGUGGGGAGCAAACAGGAUUAGAUACCCUGGUAGUCCACACCGUAAACGAUGAAUGCCAGUCGUCGGAUAGUAUACUAUUCGGUGACACACCUAACGGAUUAAGCAUUCCGCCUGGGGAGUACGGUCGCAAGAUUAAAACUCAAAGGAAUUGACGG
rnacentral:rRNA from 1 species